rnacentral:lncRNA from 1 species
AUGCUAACAAGAACAGGUCCAAAGGCUCCUGGCAAAGGCAUCCCUUUCCAGCAGCUGGGGAGGCUGCCGUCAUGCCGUGCCAGGUAUUCCCCUACCAAAUCACCUGCUCUUGGCACAUCCCAAGAAAACAGGAUUCCUCUCCAAUUUCCGCAAGCUCCCGAUGGCUCCUACCUGCCCGGCUGCUCUCUGCCAGCUCCCGACGGGCUGCUUGGCCAAUGCCCCGCCGCGGAGAGCGUCUCUCCCAGGCAGCCAGCUCGCUUUCUGGCUGGGCUGAGCGGAGAAACACGGGAGCCGGAGGAGCCUCCGCGCCGGCCGGUUCGCAGGCGCGAGGCAGGAGCAGCCGCCCCAGCCGGGCAAAGUGCCACUCGGGCUGGGAACAAGGUGCGUUUCCCCGAAGCGGAGCCCAGCCGCAGAGACACUGGCAUGAGCUGUUCCACCAAACACGCAAGCUCAUUCCUCAUAACAAGUUCGCACAGACUAAAGGAACGAACUCCAAUAAAGUUUUAUUGCUUCCUGUGCCCAGUCCUCCGGGGAUCCCCAGCAAAGCCUCAGCCACCGGUGGCAAACGCCAGGGCUUGGAUGCAAUAUGGACUGAAGGGGGGGAAAAAAAUUCCUGCGGACCUGCUGGCCAUCAGAAGUGUCAAACAGAUAUUCAGGAUGGAUUCAGCCCCGAAUCAGAAAAGAAGAACCACUUCAUCCACACUUACAAGCUGGUCACACCCUCGAGCUCUCCGGAGAAGUUUUACAGCUCAUAAAACCCUCUGGAUGCAACGGGGGAGAAGCCACAGUCCGCUCGCGACCUUGGAAGCGGCGACUGCUCCGGGGGACAGGACGUCUCCCCAGCCGGGACGCGGGGGGCGCACGCAGGCAGCGCCAGCCCCUCGCAGCACCCGCCGCCAGCAAAGCGUGCGAACCAGAAGGGCUUCUCCCCCGCACCCACGGGACGGCUUACGCAGCGAAAAGCACGCCUUCUAUCCAAACGGAGAUCUUCCUUCCCGCACGCGCCGCUCAGCUAUCCAUCAUCAAGCCCAAAACAACAGGGCGCAGGGGACUAUUUUAACAGACGGCACGAACAGGAGACACAAAGACGGGUAG